rnacentral:rRNA from 1 species
AUUGAACGCUGGCGGCAGGCCUAACACAUGCAAGUCGAGCGAGCGGCGGACGGGUGAGUAAUGUAUGGGGACUGCCUGAUCGAGGGGGAUAACUACGGGAAACGGUGGCUAAUACCGCAUACUAUCGGAUAACCCAUAUGGGUUUAGCUAGUCGGUGGGGUAAAGGCUCACCUAGGCGACGCUCUAUAGCUGGUCUGAGAGGAUGAUCAGCCACACUGGGACUGAGACACGGCCCAGACUCCUACGGAGGCAGCAGUGGGGAAUAUUGGGCAAUGGGCGAAAGCCUGAUGCAGCCAUGCCGCGUGUAUGAAGAAGGCCUUAGGGUUGUAAAGUACUGUCAGCGGGGAGGCGUUACCCAAAGAAAAAGCACCGGCUAACUCCGUGCCAGCAGCCGCGGUAAUUC